rnacentral:rRNA from 1 species
GACGAACGCUGGCGGCGUGCUUAACACAUGCAAGUCGAACGGUGAAGGGACUGGUUUUGCUGGUUCUGGAUGAGUGGCGAACGGGUGAGUAACACGUGAGUAACCUGCCCCCUUCUUCUGGAUAACCGCAUGAAAGUGUGGCUAAUACGGGAUAUUCUGGGUCUGUCGCAUGGUGGGCUUGGGAAAGAUUGCGCUUUUUUGGUGUUUUUGGUGGGGGAUGGGCUCGCGGCCUAUCAGCUUGUUGGUGGGGUGAUGGCCUACCAAGGCGGUGACGGGUAGCCGGCCUGAGAGGGUGGACGGUCACACUGGGACUGAGACACGGCCCAGACUCCUACGGGAGGCAGCAGUGGGGAAUAUUGCACAAUGGGCGCAAGCCUGAUGCAGCGACGCCGCGUGAGGGAUGGAGGCCUUCGGGUUGUGAACCUCUUUCGCCAGUGAAGCAGGCCUGCCUCGUUUGUGGGUGGGU